AGAGUUUGAUCAUGGCUCAGGACGAACGCUGGCGGCGUGCCUAAUACAUGCAAGUCGAGCGAAUCGAUGGGAGCUUGCUCCCAUUGAUUAGCGGCGGACGGGUGAGUAACACGUGGGUAACCUGCCUGUAAGACUGGGAUAACUUCGGGAAACCGGAGCUAAUACCGGAUAGUUUCUUUUCUCGCAUGAGAGAAGAUGGAAAGAUGGUUUCGGCUAUCACUUACAGAUGGACCCGCGGCGCAUUAGCUAGUUGGUGAGGUAAUGGCUCACCAAGGCAACGAUGCGUAGCCGACCUGAGAGGGUGAUCGGCCACACUGGGACUGAGACACGGCCCAGACUCCUACGGGAGGCAGCAGUAGGGAAUCUUCCGCAAUGGACGAAAGUCUGACGGAGCAACGCCGCGUGAGCGAAGAAGGCCUUCGGGUCGUAAAGCUCUGUUGUUAGGGAAGAACAAGUACAAGAGUAACUGCUUGUACCUUGACGGUACCUACCAGAAGCCCGGCUACUACGUGCCAGCAGCCGCGGUA
rnacentral:rRNA from 1 species